rnacentral:lncRNA from 1 species
UUCAUUUUAUUCUAAAUCGAUUUUACCACUAUUUUCAACCUUAUGUAGUUUAUCCAUAACAUAUUAAUCUGAAAUCAUCUAAGCUUGGUUGUCCCCUUCAUUUAUUUCCCUUAAACAAAAAUUAAUACAAAAACAACAUUGACAGUCAACACUGCACACACACCCAUAGACGCAAACAGUUGCAUUGGCAGUCAACACUGCAUAUUCAAUCCUCAGACCACCUUUGUAGUUGUUUAACAUUCACAACUAUUCCUGACAUUUCAUUCAUAAGGGUCUAUUUAUUUUCUUUAUUUUGUUCAACCAUUUCAGCCAAAGUAAACUUCACAAAUAUCUUCUUCGAGUUACUACUAGUCGAGACAGGUACAUUGCUCUUAUAUCAAUUCUCAAGACCUAGCCACAAAUCGAUCAAUAUAAGAACUAAAAAUAAAUAAAAUAGUGGAUUUUUGGGGCAAUUUUCUAAUUUUUAUUCAAAAAUGGUCAAAUGGAUAUUGAGUACAAGAAAUUGAAAUGCUGAAUUAAACUAUGAUAAUUAUGAUACAUGGGACUCCAUUGUUAUUCUUGAAUCUGUAGAAAUAAGGAGUUGAGAAUUAGAUUUAGAGAGAGAUAGAGAGAGAAAAGAAAUAGAUAAGAGAGAAGGAACACGAGGAAGAAGCAUGAAGAUAUCACAAGUUCAUUGUAUUGUAGCUAUGAUUUGUUUGGAAUUAUAUACGAUGAGCUGUCAAGCUUAAUCUUAACCGACCAAGCUCAUUAAUUUCCAAUUGAAUCUACACCCUCCAGGAUUUAUAAUUUCAUUGGCUCUCUUCCUUUAUUUCCUAGCUUCUUUGUAAUUGACUUUUAAGGUCAUAACAAACUAAUUAUUAUAGAUUUUUUAAAAAAAUCAAAUCAAAUCAAAUCAAAUAAAAUUUAAUUUAUCUAGUCAGAUUGAUUUGAUUUUUCAAUUUAAAUCAAUUUUCAAUCAAAACAUGAACACUCUUUUAAAGGGGAUGAGGGGUGCCAAGGGUGGCGGUGGGUGGAUAGGGUAUAUGGGUGUGGCCAUAUGGGCAGAGUUUGGGGGUGAGGGCAGACAGUUAGCCUAAAAACCCUAAAAAAAAUUCAAAAAAUAAUUUUUAUUAUACUAUUAUUUAUUUUUCAGAGAGAAUAAUUUCUAAAAGCUUUUUAAUAAAUCAAAUAUGAAAAAAUUUCAAAAUGUAUUUUCUUUUCAUUUUUUCCAAGAGCAUUAUAGUGUGAAGGAAUUGUUUUCAAAGAUUAUUAAAGGUCAGAUAGGUUUUAUUCACACUACCUCAUCCACUUUUUUCUGCGAAUCUCCUAGGCAUUUGCUGCAAUAAAGGAAACAAAUUGCUUCUAUUAUUGCUAUUGCAAGGACACUGGGAAGCUUGAUUUCAUGGAGUGAAGAGGAAUUGCCAGAACUUGCUAGGUGAAAUGGGGUCUAGCAUAUUCAUGUGUGCAUUAAAUAGUGCAAUUACUACAGCAAUAAUAAAAACAAAACCUUUUUCUUUCAUCAAUUUAAAGCAUUAAUGACAAUUCACCCAUGGGUUAGCACACCGUUCUUAUGCCGGAAGGAGUAAUUUAGGACACAUUUCAUGCUCUAAUAGUUAUAUUGAUGAUGAUAUUGACACUAUCUUUCAGGUCGUUUUUCUCUUCCUUGUUCUCUCUAUUCAAUUUUGACAUAUAUAUA